AAACCGGACCGAAACCGGUCAAAACCGGAACCGGUUUCGAACCGGACCGAAAUCGCCCUUUUACGGUUUGAUUCAGGUUCAUAUUUUUUAAAAACCGUGAACCGGCAGUUCCGAAUCGGAUUGAACCGAUAGUUCUAAACCGGACCAAACUAGUGAUUUAAAUACAAAAAAAUUCAAUAAAUAACUCACUCCACUCCUAAUUCAUUUAUAUAUA
rnacentral:misc_RNA from 1 species